rnacentral:rRNA from 1 species
UGCGACCCCAGGUCAGGCGGGGUUACCCGCUGAGUUUAAGC